rnacentral:rRNA from 1 species
GAUGAACGCUGGCGGCGUGCCUAAUACAUGCAAGUCGAGCGAACGGACGAGAAGCUUGCUUCUCUGAUGUUAGCGGCGGACGGGUGAGUAACACGUGGAUAACCUACCUAUAAGACUGGGAUAACUUCGUGAAACCGGAGCUAAUACCGGAUAAUAUUUUGAACCGCAUGGUUCAAAAGUUAAAGACGGUCUUGCUGUCACUUAUAGAUGGAUCCGCGCUGCAUUAGCUAGUUGGUAAGGUAACGGCUUACCAAGGCAACGAUGCAUAGCCGACCUGAGAGGGUGAUCGGCCACACUGGAACUGAGACACGGUCCAGACUCCUACGGGAGGCAGCAGUAGGGAAUCUUCCGCAAUGGGCGAAAGCCUGACGGAGCAACGCCGCGUGAGUGAUGAAGGUCUUCGGAUCGUAAAACUCUGUUAUUAGGGAAGAACAUAUGUGUAAGUAACUGUGCACAUCUUGACGGUACCUAAUCAGAAAGCCACGGCUAACUACGUG